GGACUUUGGACUUGGUUCCGUUGAACCCCUGAACCGGAGGAGGAAAAUCGCCUUGACAUUAUGUCUUAAUCAGUAGACGGGUUAUGGCAAUCAGGACUACACCCAUAUUAAUAGCACAGGUUAUUCCUUUACUUUAUACAUGGUUCCUCUCAUCCACGGUGCCUACUGAUCACAUCUUUACUCAGUGUUAGGCUCCCUUCCUGAUGAGAUUCGACUCUGGGCAACAUUGAGUGGGUCCUUCGUUAGCCCAGAAAAUAUAACUUGAGCUAGCAGUUUAGAAGUUUAUAGAGCAUACAAAAUCUAUUCACUAUUGAAGGUGCACAGAUUUUCAGUUAAUUCCCAAAUCACU
rnacentral:lncRNA from 1 species